UACGUAGGGUGCGAGCGUUGUCCGGAAUUAUUGGGCGUAAGGAGCUCGUAGGCGGCUUGUCGCGUCGGAUGUGAAAGCCCGGGGCUUAACUCCGGGUCUGCAUUCGAUACGGGCAGGCUAGAGUUCGGUAGGGGAGAUCGGAAUUCCUGGUGUAGCGGUGAAAUGCGCAGAUAUCAGGAGGAACACCGGUGGCGAAGGCGGAUCUCUGGGCCGAUACUGACGCUGAGGAGCGAAAGCGUGGGGAGCGAACAGG
rnacentral:rRNA from 1 species